rnacentral:rRNA from 1 species
GACGAACGCUGGCGGCGUGCCUAACACAUGCAAGUCGAACGGAAGUUAGAGCUUCGGUUUUAACUUUAGUGGCGAACGGGUGAGUAACGCGUGGGCAACCUGCCCUCUAGAUGGGGACAACAUCCCGAAAGGGGUGCUAAUACCGAAUGUGACAGCAAUCUCGCAUGAGGAUGCUGUGAAAAGAUGGCCUCGCGUCCGAUUAGAUAGUUGGUGAGGUAACGGCUCACCAAGUCGACGAUCGGUAGCCGGACUGAGGGGUUGAACGGCCACAAUUGGGACUGAGACACGGCCCAGACUCCUACGGAGGCAGCAGUGGGGAAUAUUGCACAAUGGGCGAAAGCCUGAUGCAGCAACGCCG